AGCUCUCCUCUACUUGUUCCUCUCCUCAGGCCCACAGUGCUAUCUGCCCCCUCUCUGCAGGUGACCUUGCCGGGAGUGGCACUGAGACAGCAAAAGCACACCAGGGAGGCACAGAGCUUAGAGAAAGAAGUGGUUUUUCUGGUUCCUCUUCAGAGGAUGGAGAGGAGACCUUCUGCCUGCAGUGAAGGUGGGUGCUGGUGGCAUUGAAGGUA
rnacentral:lncRNA from 1 species